ACGUACACUCCUGCGGGAGGCAGCAGUGGGGAAUAUUGGACAAUGGGCGCAAGCCUGAUCCAGCCAUGCCGCGUGAGUGAUGAAGGCCCUAGGGUUGUAAAGCUCUUUCACCGGUGAAGAUAAUGACGGUAACCGGAGAAGAAGCCCCGGCUAACUUCGUGCCAGCAGCCGCGGUAAUACGAAGGGGGCUAGCGUUGUUCGGAUUUACUGGGCGUAAAGCGCACGUAGGCGGACUAUUAAGUCAGGGGUGAAAUCCCGGGGCUCAACCCCGGAACUGCCUUUGAUACUGGUAGUCUGGAGUUCGAGAGAGGUGAGUGGAAUUCCGAGUGUAGAGGUGAAAUUCGUAGAUAUUCGGAGGAACACCAGGGGCGAAGGCGGCUCACUGGCUCGAUACUGACGCUGAGGUGCGAAAGCGUGGGGAGCAAACAGGAUUAGAAACCCGUGUAGUCCCAU
rnacentral:rRNA from 1 species